AUGAACGCUAGCGGCAGGCCUAACACAUGCAAGUCGAGGGGGAGGUUACUUUCGGGUAACUGAGACCGGCGUACGGGUGCGUAACGCGUAUACAAUCUGCCUUUCACUGGGGGAUAGCCCGAAGAAAUUUGGAUUAAUACCCCAUAGUAUAGUAAUACGGCAUCGUGAUGCUAUUAAAGCUUAGGUGGUGAAAGAUGAGUAUGCGUUCUAUUAGCUAGUUGGAGAGGUAACGGCUCCCCAAGGCGAUGAUAGAUAGGGGUUCUGAGAGGGAUGUCCCCCACACUGGUACUGAGAUACGGACCAGACUCCUACGGGAGGCAGCAGUGAGGAAUAUUGGACAAUGAUCGGAAGACUGAUCCAGCCAUGCCGCGUGCAGGAUGAAGGUCUUAUGGAUUGUAAACUGCUUUUGUAAGGGAAGAAUAAGGGCUACGCGUAGUUUGAUGACGGUACCUUACGAAUAAGCAUCGGCUAACUCCGUG
rnacentral:rRNA from 1 species